rnacentral:rRNA from 1 species
AACACAAUAAAGUACCCCGCCUGGGGAGUACGAUCGCAAGAUUAAAACCCAAAGGAAUUGACGGGGGCCCGCACAAGCAGCGGAGCAUGCGGUUUAAUUAGAAGCAAUGCGAAGAACCUUACCUGGACUUGACAUCGUCUGAAUAUCUAAGAGAUUAGAGAAACCCUUCGGGGCAGAUAGACAGGUGGUGCAUGGUUGUCGUCAGCUCGUGUCGUGAGAUGUUAGGUUAAGUCGAUGCAACGAGCGCAACCCUUAUCAUUAGUUGCUACCAUUAAGUUGAGCACUCUAAUGAGACUGCCCGGGUUAACCGGGAGGAAGGUGGGGAUGACGUCAAAUCAUCAUGCCCCUUAUGUCCAGGGCUACACACGUGCUACAAUGGUGAGUACAAUUAGAUGCAAACCCGCGAGGGGGAGCCAAACUAAAAAACUCAUCCCAGUUCGGAUUGCAGGCUGCAACUCGCCUGCAUGAAGCCGGAGUUGCUAGUAAUCGCGAAUCAGCAUGUCGCGGUGAAUACGUUCCCGGGCCUUGUACACACCGCCCGUCACACCAUGAGAGUUGGCAACACCCGAAGUCCGUGAGUUAACCGUAAUGGUUGUCUGCACCGAAGGUGGGGUCAAUGAUUGGGGUG